GACGAACGCUGGCGGCGUGCUUAACACAUGCCAGUCGAACGGAAAGGCCCUGCUUUUGUGGGGUGCUCGAGUGGCGAACGGGUGAGUAACACGUGAGUAACCUGCCCUUGACUUUGGGAUAACUCCAGGAAACUGGGGCUAAUACCGGAUAGGAGCUCCUGCUGCAUGGUGGGGGUUGGAAAGUUUCGGCGGUUGGGGAUGGACUCGCGGCUUAUCAGCUUGUUGGUGGGGUAGUGGCUUACCAAGGCUUUGACGGGUAGCCGGCCUGAGAGGGUGACCGGCCACAUUGGGACUGAGAUACGGCCCAGACUCCUACGGGAGGCAGCAGUGGGGAAUAUUGCACAAUGGGCGGAAGCCUGAUGCAGCAACGCCGCGUGCGGGAUGACGGCCUUCGGGUUGUAAACCGCUUUCGCCUGUGACGAAGCGUGAGUGACGGUAAUGGGUAAAGAAGCACCGGCUAACUACGUG
rnacentral:rRNA from 1 species